UAGCUAGUUGGUGAGGUAAAGGCUUACCAAGGCGACGAUCUGUAGCGGGUCUGAGAGGAUGAUCCGCCACACUGGAACUGAGACACGGUCCAGACUCCUACGGGAGGCAGCAGUGGGGAAUUUUGGACAAUGGGGGCAACCCUGAUCCAGCCAUGCCGCGUGAGUGAAGAAGGCCUUCGGGUUGUAAAGCUCUUUCGGCCGGGAAGAAAUCGCAUGGGCCAAUACCCUGUGUGGAUGACGGUACCGGAAUAAGAAGCACCGGCUAACUACGUGCCAGCAGCCGCGGUAAUACGUAGGGUGCGAGCGUUAAUCGGAAUUACUGGGCGUAAAGCGUGCGCAGGCGGUUUUGUAAGACAGGCGUGAAAUCCCCGGGCUUAACCUGGGAACUGCGUUUGUGACUGCAAGGCUAGAGUACGGCAGAGGGGGGUGGAAUUCCACGUGUAGCAGUGAAAUGCGUAGAGAUGUGGAGGAACACCAAUGGCGAAGGCAGCCCCCUGGGUCGAUACUGACGCUCAUGCACGAAAGCGUGGGUAGCAAACAGGAUUAGAUACCCUGGUAGUCCACGCCCUAAACUAUGUCAACUAGGUGUUGGGUGGGUAAAACCAUUUAGUACCGUAGCUAACGCGUGAAGUUGACCGCCUGGGGAGUACGGCCGCAAGGUUAAAACUCAAAGGAAUUGACGGGGACCCGCACAAGCGGUGGAUGAUGUGGAUUAAUUCGAUGCAACGCGAAAAACCUUACCUACCCUUGACAUGCCAGGAACUUGCCAGAGAUGGCUUGGUGCCCGAAAGGGAGCCUGGACACAGGUGCUGCAUGGCUGUCGUCAGCUCGUGUCGUGAGAUGUUGGGUUAAGUCCCGCAACGAGCGCAACCCUUGUCGUUAAUUGCCAUCAUUUAGUUGGGCACUUUAACGAGACUGCCGGUGACAAACCGGAGGAAGGUGGGGAUGACGUCAAGUCCUCAUGGCCCUUAUGGGUAGGGCUUCACACGUCAUACAAUGGUCGGUACAAAGGGUUGCCAAGCCGCGAGGCGGAGCCAAUCCCAGGAAGCCGAUCGUAGUCCGGAUUGCAGGCUGCAACUCGCCUGCAUGAAGUCGGAAUCGCUAGUAAUCGUGGAUCAGCAUGUCACGGUGAAUACGUUCCCGGGUCUUGUACACACCGCCCGUCACACCAUGGGAGCGGGUUCCGCCAGAAGUAGGUAGCCUAACCGCAAGGGGGGCGCUUACCACGGCGGGGUUCGUGACUGGGGUGAAGUCGUAACAAGGUAGCCGUAGGGGAACCUGCGGCUG
rnacentral:rRNA from 1 species